GUGUUGAAAUGAUUUUUUUUUGUGCAUAUUUUAUAGUGAUUUUUCUUUAAUUUUCCGAUUAAAAAAAUGGAUGUCAAUAAAAUAAUACAACCUUUUCUAGGUUAUUUUGCUAUCUGGAACUUUGUGACACCAUUUCAUUUCAUAUAUAUAUUCUAAACUUUAAGUAUUACAGUAACUGUAUUCUUUCUUCAAUUCGUUCAUAACUUUUAAUUGUUAAGCUUGCUUAAGAUCCCCGUGCCGCCUUAAAGAUGAGAAAACCCCAUACCGCAUAGCAAGCUUUAAAAUAUCCAGGCGUGCAUUGGCAAUGUGAAACAGUUCAAACGAGAAAACUAACGGCCUUGUUUAUGUAAUAAACAAUACACAAAAAGAUAAAUCUUAUCUACGGCAACAAACUACUCGGAACAGGCACGUACAAAAUAUGGAGUGGUUAAACAUGUUUUCGGUGGUCCAAUCAUACACAUGACCUAAGAUAUAAGAACAAGACAUACUUUUUGUAAGAACACAUUCUAAAAUUCUGAAAAAAUAAUAGACCCGUCAGAUUUACCUUAAACAUGCAAAAUACAACUUACAAAAGGAAUUAAGAAACAAAGCACAGCAGUUACUGAAAGCUAAUAAUUUAAAACCAU
rnacentral:lncRNA from 1 species